rnacentral:rRNA from 1 species
AUUGAACGCUGGCGGCAGGCCUAACACAUGCAAGUCGAACGAGGGGCGGACGGGUGAGGAAUAUCUGGGAAACUGGCAGAGGGAGGGGGAUAACUACUGGAAGCGGUAGCUAAUACCGCAUACCAUUGGACGUGCGCAGGUGGGAUUAGCUAGUAGGUGGGGUAACGGCCCACCUAGGCGACGAUCCCUAGUCGGUCUGGGAGGAUGACCAGCCACACUGGAACUGAGACACGGUCCAGACUCCUACGGGAGGCAGCAGUGGGGAAUAUUGCACAAUGGGCGCAAGCCUGAUGCAGCCAUGCCGCGUGUAUGAAGAAGGCCUUCGGGUUGUAAAGUACUUUCAGCGAGGAGGCGUUACUCGCAGAAGAAGCACCGGCUAACUCCGUGCCAGCAGCCGCGGUAAUUC